rnacentral:rRNA from 1 species
AGGGGGCAAGCGUUAUCCGGAUUCACUGGGCGUAAAGGGAGCGCAGGCGGCACGGCAAGUCUGGUGUGAAAGCACGGGGCCCAACCCCGGGACUGCACUGGAAACUGCCGGGCUGGAGUGCCGGAGGGGUAAGCGGAAUUCCUGGUGUAGCGGUGAAAUGCGCAGAUAUCAGGAGGAACACCGGUGGCGGAGGCGGCUUACUGGACGGCAACUGACGCUGAGGCUCGAAAGCGUGGGGAGCAA